rnacentral:rRNA from 1 species
CACGUAGGGGGCGAGCGUUGUCCGGAUUUAUUGGGCGUAAAGAGCUCGUAGGCGGCUCGGUAAGUCGGGUGUGAAACCUCCAGGCUCAACCUGGAGACGCCACCUGAUACUGCUGUGGCUAGAGUCCGGUAGGGGAGUGUGGAACUCCUGGUGUAGCGGUGAAAUGCGCAGAUAUCAGGAGGAACACCAAUGGCGAAGGCAGAUCUCUGGGCCGUAACUGACGCUGAGGAGCGAAAGCAUGGGGAGCGAACAGG